GGGGAUGUAGCUCAGUGGCAGAGCACCUGCUUCGCUUGUGGGAGGUCCUGGGUUCAACCCCUGGCAUCUCCA
rnacentral:tRNA from 1 species